AAUGAACGCUAGUAGUAUGCUUAACACAUGCAAGUCGAACGGACCCUUCGGGGUUAGUGGCGGACGGGUGAGUAACGCGUGAGAAUCUGCCUUCAGGUCUGGGACAACAGAAGGAAACUUCUGCUAAUCCGGGAUGAGCCUUUUGGUAAAAGAUAAAAUUGCCUGGAGAUGAGCUCGCGUCUGAUUAGCUAGUUGGUGUGGUAAAAAGCAUACCAAGGCAACGAUCAGUAGCUGGUCUGAGAGGAUGAGCAGCCACACUGGGACUGAGACACGGCCCAGACUCCUACGGGAGGCAGCAGUGGGGAAUUUUCCGCAAUGGGCG
rnacentral:rRNA from 1 species